UACGUAGGGUGCGAGCGUUAAUCGGAAUUACUGGGCGUAAAGGGUGUGCAGGCGGCUGAGUAAGACAGAUGUGAAAUCCCCGGGCUUAACCUGGGAACCGCAUAUGUGACUGCUUGGCUAGAGUGCGUCAGAGGGAGGUGGAAUUCCACGUGUAGCAGUGAAAUGCGUAGAUAUGUGGAAGAACACCGAUGGCGAAGGCAGCCUCCUGGGACGCAACUGACGCUCAUACACGAAAGCGUGGGGAGCAAACA
rnacentral:rRNA from 1 species